UGCUGUGCCCUCCUGCUUCUCUACGGGUGCCUUGUACCAGAUCAUAACUCAGCUGAGCUUUGCUGUCCCCAGGACUGAUUAGUGACAAAGUCAUCAGGGAAACCCCUGGUCAGUCUGGACCAAAAGGAGUCAUGAAGACGCUGGCUUCCUGAGAGAAAGAGGCAUGCUUUCAAUCUCAGAACACAAAGCAACACUAAAUGAACAGACUUCUGCUGCAGAAGAUGAGCCUGUGUGGGAGCCAAAUACAGCCCUUUCCUCCUGUUGAUGAGAUCUACGAUACAUUUGGGAAAGAAAACAAACGGAUGAGACCGGGGCAACUAGUGAAAAGUAUAGCUGAGAAGACAAGGAUAAAACUGCAGGUGAGAGUCUGUGCUAAGGACUGGGAAUUUCUAGGAUACAGUCGACCAGUUAGA